rnacentral:lncRNA from 1 species
UCAAACAAGAUGUAAUGUAUGGAUCUUAGAUGGAGAUCUAUACCACAAAGGGCUACUCAAGUUCUCUCUGGAUGCCCUUUCUCUGAGGGACACUCUGGUCAUGUUGGUCGUCGAUAUGUCAAAGCCUUGGACUGCUUUGGAUUCCUUACAGAAGUGGGCAAGUGUGGUGAGAGAACAUGUUGACAAACUGAAAAUCCCCCCUGAAGAAAUGAAGGAAAUGGAGCAGAAGUGUGAGUGGCCAGAAAAUUCGGGCUCCUAUUGAGAUAUCUUAGCAGACUAUAAAAACCAGACAUGCCAAUGUGGGCUUCCAUUGAGAUAUCUUAGCUAACUAUAAAAGCCAUUCCAAUUGUUUUCUCUAUAAACAAGAUUCAGUGAAGGAAAUACAAUGACUACCAUUUUGAAACUUAGUUAGAAUGAUGUACAGAGUUUUAAUAUUUAAUAUACAGGGGUUGGGGAUUCAGUGGUAAAACGCUUGCCUAGCAAGCAGGAGGCCCUGGGUUCGGUCCCAAGCUCAAAA